GUAACACGUAAACAACCUGCCUUCAGGAUGGGGACAACAGACGGAAACGGACUGCUAAUACCGAAUAAGUUCCAAGAGCCGCAUGGCCCAUGGAAGAAAAGGUGGCCUCUACCUGUAAGCUAUCGCCUGAAGAGGGGUUUGCGUCUGAUUAGCUGGUUGGAGGGGUAACGGCCCACCAAGGCGACGAUCAGUAGCCGGUCUGAGAGGAUGAACGGCCACAUUGGAACUGAGACACGGUCCAAACUCCUACGGGAGGCAGCAUG
rnacentral:rRNA from 1 species